rnacentral:rRNA from 1 species
GAUGAACGCUGGCGGCGUGCUUAACACAUGCAAGUCGAACGAUGAAGCCCAGCUUGCUGGGUGGAUUAGUGGCGAACGGGUGAGCAACACGUGAGUAACCUGCCCUUAACUCUGGGAUAAGCCUGGGAAACUGGGUCUAAUACCGGAUAGGAGCGUCCACCGCAUGGUGGGUGUUGGAAAGAUUUAUCGGUUUUGGAUGGACUCGCGGCCUAUCAGCUUGUUGGUGAGGUAAUGGCUCACCAAGGCGACGACGGGUAGCCGGCCUGAGAGGGUGACCGGCCACACUGGGACUGAGACACGGCCCAGACUCCUACGGGAGGCAGCAGUGGGGAAUAUUGCACAAUGGGCGGAAGCCUGAUGCAGCGACGCCGCGUGAGGGAUGACGGCCUUCGGGUUGUAAACCUCUUUCAGUAGGGAAGAAGCGAAAGUGACGGUACCUGCAGAAGAAGCACCGGCUAACUACGUG